CAGGAUGGACCCGCGUCUGAUUAGCUAGUUGGUAAGGUAACGGCUUACCAAGGCGACGAUCAGUAGCCGACCUGAGAGGGUGAUCGGCCACAUUGGAACUGAGACACGGUCCAAACUCCUACGGGAGGCAGCAGUGGGGAAUAUUGCACAAUGGGCGAAAGCCUGAUGCAGCAACGCCGCGUGAGUGAUGAAGGCCUUCGGGUCGUAAAACUCUGUCCUCAAGGAAGAUAAUGACGGUACUUGAGGAGGAAGCCCCGGCUAACUACGUGCCAGCAGCCGCGGUAAUACGUAGGGGGCUAGCGUUAUCCGGAUUUACUGGGCGUAAAGGGUGCGUAGGCGGUCUUUCAAGUCAGGAGUGAAAGGCUACGGCUCAACCGUAGUAAGCUCUUGAAACUGGGAGACUUGAGUGCAGGAGAGGAGAGUGGAAUUCCUAGUGUAGCGGUGAAAUGCGUAGAUAUUAGGAGGAACACCAGUUGCGAAGGCGGCUCUCUGGACUGUAACUGACGCUGAGGCACGAAAGCGUGGGGAGCAAACAGGAUUAGAUACCCUGGUAGUCCACGCUGUAAACGAUGAGUACUAGGUGUCGGGGGUUACCCCCUUCGGUGCCGCAGCUAACGCAUUAAGUACUCCGCCUGGGAA
rnacentral:rRNA from 1 species